GUCUUCAAAACUCAGUCAACAGACGGAGUUAAAUCAUAUCAUAGGGCAGUUGGAAUUCCCAGAUGUUUACAGAACGGUCUGUCCAGCAGAUAAGAAACCAUGUUCUUCUCAGAGCCCCAUGGAGCUCCAUCAAACUUGUAAGGUGGACAUUGCAGUACUUCUCACCCUGUUUACAGGAUAGAGAGUGGAAGCACUCGGUCUGUAAAGUUGGUUUCACCCUGAUAUCAGCCCCACAUAGGGGCAGAACAAAGAGAAAAACUGCAGGCCGUUUAAUCUGAUGAACGUAAAUUGUAAAACUUUUCAACAAAACAUUUGCAACUGAAUUCAAGAACACUUCGAGAAAAAAAAUCGCAUCACUGCCAAAUCACUGCCAAGCUGGUUUCACUCCAGGUUGUAGGGUGGUGCAUUCGAGAUUCUAUGAUGAUGCAUAAAAGGCCUUUACCAAAGUUUUGGCAGUUCUGGGCAAAGGAGAGACAUAAGGAACAUCGUUAGUGUGGUAGACUGUGCCGUGAGUGUGUGGUCAACGUUGCACCAACACUCGGAAAUGAGGCAGGUUUUCUCUGGUGUUGUACUUGAGCUCUCAACCAGAGCAAUGGGAAAGAGCAGAAAAUUAAAAGACUGUAAUAGGACAUAUCAUGCUGCCUGUUUGUACAUGACACGGUCCUAUGUGUAAGGCACCCUGUGCGCUCCAGCAAACUUGGAGGGCUGCUGUGUAUUUUAGGAAAGUAUCAGGACACAGACUCAGUGGGAUUUCUGUACCCAUAGUGAACUUGCUAGGAAAGUGCCCACUCUUCAUACAUAGCAAUA
rnacentral:lncRNA from 1 species